rnacentral:lncRNA from 1 species
ACCUAUAUUUUCAAUCCCAUAUGUAAUCCUGCUGGCGGAUAUAUCAGAGAUCUUCACCUUGAUCCCUCGUAUAUCCUUUCCAAGUUUAUGUUGAAGUGCUAAUUCAUUCAACAGGAAGGAGAAGCAGCAAACACACCUUUUGAUGAAUCCGGCUCUCUUUCUUGGACCGGUCGAUUUGAUCAUGAUGAAAGUGUCGAUAGCAUCCUCAACUUGGUAAGCCACAUCUCUUACAUCCCUGACCCAGGUUUUCACUCUCUCAUCUCCCUUCUGCUUCGCGUCCGCAUCUUUUAGGAAGCAGUUGAUCCGAAUCAAUUCCCUUUCAAUCCACUCCACUUCACUUUGGACAUGAGUCCUCCUCACUGCAUAUCCAAAUUCUUCUAUGAGCAAACCACCAAGCUUUUCCACAGCUAAUGCAACAACUGCUUCGACCAUUUUCUUUUCUCUUGGGAGGUUCUGCUUGGGAGUUGCCUCGAGGGUUCACAAUUAAUUCUAAUGGGUUUUCUUCCAUCAACCAACUUUACCCCACGUUCCUGGAUUCUUCCUUGGAAUAAAUAAGGCCCAAUGGCUGACUAACCUUUCUAAGGGACCACUGGGGGAAGAAAUUGAGUAUAAAACUUUCAAGGGAUAGCAAUGAAUUAUUUUUGAAAGAGAAUUCUCCCCCAUAUAGAAAAUAUCGGAAUACACGAUAUAUAAGUAAGAUAUAUUUAUUAACAAAGAUAUCAGAAAAUAUUGACUAUAUGUCAACGAUGUAUCAAUGAUUUCCAAUAUAUGGACGAUACAAGCAAAAAAUCCUCGAAUUAUUAAUUAAAAAACAAUGAGGUCUAAUGCCCAAACUUUUUGAUUUGUUGGAUCAACCCAACUAACCUAUAUACAAUGACCUUUUUAAUCUUUUUUAAUAGGUGAAAAGAUGGAUGACAUCCGAUUUAAUAGAUGUAAAUUUUAAACUUUAAUAUGGGUCGAAGGUAGACUUAGGCCUGACUCGUCAUCUAUUAUAUAAACUAAACUUAUUUUGUGGUAUGCGUGUGCUUAGAAUUAUUUAUAUUUUAUGGUAUAUAUGUGAUUAUUAUAUGUAUAUUUUUAUAUAUUUUAUAAAUUAAUUAAAAUAAAAGUAUUAUAAAUAAGUUAAUUUUAAUUAUAUUAUAAUUUUUUUUGUAUACUAAUUAAAUAUAAGACAAAUAUAAAAUCAUAAAUAAAAUUAUCAAUAUUUAAAAAAUAUAUAUUUUUAUUUGUAAUAAUUUAGUUUUAAAUUAAUGAUUUAAUUUUAUUUUGAUAUUUAAGUGUAAUAAUAGCUCAUUAAGAAUAAAUUAACUUAGCAUAUUUUUAAAUUAGUAUAACAUUGAAUUUAAAUUAAUACAUUUUUAUAAUUAAUCAGUAUAUUUUUAAUAUAUGUAAGUAAAUUAACUUAGNNNNNNNNNNNNNNNNNNNNNNNNNNNNNNNNNNNNNNNNNNNNNNNNNNNNNNNNNNNNNNNNNNNNNNNNNNNNNNNNNNNNNNNNNNNNNNNNNNNNCCUGGUCAAGCAAUCGUGCCNCCAGCAUGUUGAUGUCUUCAUCAAAGCCAAUAACAUCAUGAUCGUCCAUUCGAGGGGAGGAUCGCCUCCUCUCACGCAACUUCUCAGACACAUAACUGCUCCCUUCCCCACCACCACCUAUAUUUUCAAUCCCAUAUGUAAUCCUGCUGGCGGAUAUAUCAGAGAUCUUCACCUUGAUCCCUCGUAUAUCCUUUCCAAGUUUAUGUUGAAGUGCUAAUUCAUUCAACAGGAAGGAGAAGCAGCAAACACACCUUUUGAUGAAUCCGGCUCUCUUUCUUGGACCGGUCGAUUUGAUCAUGAUGAAAGUGUCGAUAGCAUCCUCAACUUGGUAAGCCACAUCUCUUACAUCCCUGACCCAAGUUUUCACUCUCUCGUCUCCCUUCUGCUUCGCGUCCGCAUCUUUUAGGAAGCAGUUGAUCCGAAUCAAUUCCCUUUCAAUCCACUCCACUUCACUUUGGACAUGAGUCCUCCUCACUGCAUAUCCAAAUUCUUCUAUGAGCAAACCACCAAGCUUUUCCACAGCUAAUGCAACAACUGCUUCGACCAUUUUCUUUUCUCUUGGGAGGUUCUGCUUGGGAGUUGCCUUAAGGGUUCACAAU